UGCACUUUGGGACUCUGGCUUUUAGC
rnacentral:piRNA from 1 species